rnacentral:tRNA from 1 species
AAUGAAGUGCCUGAUUAAAGGAUUACUUUGAUAGAGUAAAUCAAGCAACUUUGUUGCCUUCAUUA